rnacentral:misc_RNA from 1 species
AACUUUCAGCAAUGGAUCUCUUGGCUCUCGCAUCGAUGAAGAACGCAGCGAAACGCGAUAGGUAAUGUGAAUUGCAGAAUUCCGUGAAUCAUCGAAUCUUUGAACGCACAUUGCGCCUUCUGGUAUUCCGGUAGGCAUGCCUGUCUGAGCGUCAGCAAAACCCUCAGCAACUAGUUUGCUGGUUAUGGGCGGAUAGUCCCGCCUUAAACCUGCUGUAGACCAUAAGCUUUUUAGGUUAAUGGAGUGGUAAUACACAAAAUCCUGCGACCGAGGAGCCGACGGCGUUAAACUCUCAAGUUUGACCUCAGAUCAGACAAGGAUACCCGCUGAACUUAAGCAUAUCAAUAAGCGGAGGCU